rnacentral:tRNA from 1 species
GGGCGUUUAGCUCAGCGGUAGAGCACACCCUUUACAUGGGUGAGGUCGCACGUUCGAUCCGUGCCGCGCCCACCA